rnacentral:rRNA from 1 species
UACGUAGGGUGCGAGCGUUGUCCGGAAUUACUGGGCGUAAAGCGCGCGUAGGUGGCCAUGUAAGUCCGCUGUGAAAGUCAAAGGCUCAACCUUUGAAAGCCGGUGGAUACUGCAUGGCUAGAGUACGGAAGAGGCGAGUGGAAUUCCUGGUGUAGCGGUGGAAUGCGCAGAUAUCAGGAGGAACACCAAUAGCGAAGGCAGCUCGCUGGGACGUUACUGACACUGAGGCGCGAAAGCGUGGGGGAGCGAACAGG